AGGGAAUAGAUACCCGGGUAGUCCUGGCAGUAAACGGUGCACGUUUGGUGUGGGCGCAAUCGACCGCGUCCGCGCCGGAGCUAAACGCGUUAAACGUGCCGCCUGGGAAGUACGGUCGCAAGAUUAAAACUCAAAGAAAUUGACGGGGACCCGCACAAGCGGUGGAGUAUGUGGCUUAAUUCGAUGCAACGCGAAGAACCUUACCUGGUCUUGACAUGCAUUGUGUCUCCGGUGAAAGCCGGAUAGGGUAGCAAUACCCGCUUUGCACAGGUGCUGCAUGGCUGUCGUCAGCUCGUGUCGUGAGAUGUUGGGUAAUACCGUCACGAAGCGCACCCUACGUGAUUGUUGUCACCGGCGUAUG
rnacentral:rRNA from 1 species